AUGCGCAGAUAUCAGGAGGAACACCGAUGGCGAAGGCAGAUCUCUGGGCCGUAACUGACGCUGAGGAGCGAAAGGGUGGGGAGCAAACAGGCUUAGAUACCCUGGUAGUCCACCCCGUAAACGUUGGGAACUAGUUGUGGGGACCAUUCCACGGUUUCCGUGACGCAGCUAACGCAUUAAGUUCCCCGCCUGGGGAGUACGGCCGCAAGGCUAAAACUCAAAGGAAUUGACGGGGACCCGCACAAGCGGCGGAGCAUGCGGAUUAAUUCGAUGCAACGCGAAGAACCUUACCAAGGCUUGACAUAUACGAGAACGGGCCAGAAAUGGUCAACUCUUUGGACACUCGUAAACAGGUGGUGCAUGGUUGUCGUCAGCUCGUGUCGUGAGAUGUUGGGUUAAGUCCCGCAACGAGCGCAACCCUCGUUCUAUGUUGCCAGCACGUAAUGGUGGGAACUCAUGGGAUACUGCCGGGGUCAACUCGGAGGAAGGUGGGGAUGACGUCAAAUCAUCAUGCCCCUUAUGUCUUGGGCUUCACGCAUGCUACAAUGGCCGGUACAAAGGGCUGCAAUACCGUGAGGUGGAGCGAAUCCCAAAAAGCCGGUCCCAGUUCGGAUUGAGGUCUGCAACUCGACCUCAUGAA
rnacentral:rRNA from 1 species